CCUACGGGAGGCAGCAGUGGGGAAUAUUGCGCAAUGGGCGAAAGCCUGACGCAGCGACGCCGCGUGAGGGAUGAAGGUCUUCGGAUCGUAAACCUCUGUCAGCAGGGAAGAACGGUCACUGUGCUAAUCAGCAGUGAAUUGACGGUACCUGCAAAGGAAGCACCGGCUAACUCCGUUCCAGCAGCCGCGGUAAUACGGAGGGUGAGAGCGUUAAGCGGAAUUACUGGGCGUAAAGCGCUCGUAGGCGGUAUGUCAAGUCAAGGGUGAAAUCCCCGCGCUCAACGUGGGAACUGCCUUUGAAACUGGCAAACUGGAGUGUGUGAGAGGAUAGUGGAAUUCCAGGUGUAGGAGUGAAAUCCGGAGAGAUCUGGAGGAACAUCAGGGGCGAAGGCGACUAGCUGGAACAUAACUGACGCUGAGGAGCGAAAGCGUGGGUAGCAAACAGGAUUAGAUACCCGGGUAGUC
rnacentral:rRNA from 1 species